rnacentral:rRNA from 1 species
UACGGAGGGUGCGAGCGUUGUCCGGAAUCAUUGGGCGUAAAGGGCGCGUAGGUGGCCCGGUCAGCGUGCGGUGAAAACUCGAGGCUCAACCUCGAGACGCCGGUGGAAACCGUAAGGCUAGAGUCCGGAAGAGGAGAGUGGAAUUCCUGGUGUAGCGGUGAAAUGCGCAGAUAUCAGGAGGAACACCGGUGGCGAAAGCGGCUCUCUGGACCACAACUGACGCUGAGGCGCGAAAGCUAGGGGGAGCAAACAGG